rnacentral:rRNA from 1 species
UGGGGGAUAUUGCACAAUGGGGGGAACCCUGAUGCAGCGACGCCGCGUGAAGGAAGAAGUGCCUCGGUAUGUAAACUUCUAUCAGCAGGGAAGAAAAAAGACGGUACCUGACUAAGAAGCCCCGGCUAACUACGUGCCAGCAGCCGCGGUAAGACGUAGGGGGCAAGCGUUAUCCGGAAUUACUGGGUGUAAAGGGAGCGUAGGCGGCCAUGCAAGUCAGAUGUGAAAGGCCGGGGCCCAACCCCGGACGUGCAUAGGAAACUGUAAGGCUAGAGAUCAGGAGAGGCAAGUGGAAUUCCUAGUGUAGCGGUGAAAUGCGUAGAUAUUAGGAGGAACACCAGUGGCGAAGGCGGCUUGCUGGACUGAGACUGACGCUGAGGCUCGAAAGCGUGGGGAGCAAACAGG